GCAUGUGAGGGUAACUUGAUUGUGGCAUCUGUAACCCCGUUGAUCAUCAGGGUUGGUUUGGCUGAUCUGGUUGGCUAGCCAGGUGUACCCUACCUCCCUCACUCUUACAUGCAUACUCCUCUCUAAUCUGCAUGCUCAUUUUAGAGACUACCUUCCCUGAAUAGAGAAAAACUGUCUUUUUGUUCAAUGACAUAUGAGUAUCUGCAUUCUGCAAAUAGAACCUCAAAACAAGUUCUUAAUAAACUUAACUCUAUAUAGGCUAAUAAUUAAAAAAGAAAGAAAGAAAAAGAGGAUGUGUUCUCUUGAGGAAAAGGCCUUGUCC
rnacentral:snRNA from 1 species